UGACGCAAAUCGACGCGCCGCCCAGGAGCAACGACGGUGAGUUUUUUAAAAAAAUUUGUAAAUGAAAAGCUUAAAAAACUUAAACUUGGAAAAAUUAAAUUUCAGACUGAGUAAAAUUAAAAGUUUGAAAAAACAUCCAAUAUAUUGAAAAUAAAAGUUAUGCUAAAAAGGCAAAAGAAAAAAACUCAUCAACGGAAUAACAUAUACUGACAACAUGGACUAGCUAGGAUGUGAAUCUUACAUAGAAGAACACGAACCAGAAUCAUCCGAAAUCAUAUCACUUGAAUUUUUUUUUAGCGAAAUUGACUAAAUAAAACAACUUGGGACCUGGGAGACUGAAAUUUGAAGUGCAAAAGUGCUUGAACGCCUCAGUGCGCGGUAUCAGGCGGAUGAGAUGCACGCAAAAUGGCCCGAUCGAUCGACUAGGAGAGACUAUGAUCAAGACGUACACUGCUUUGGGAAUAAGCAAUCAGGAGUCGAGAACGGGUGCAAGCAGGAGAAGGAGGUCCACCUCGUAGGGGCAGCCUUGCCCACAACCACCACUGCACCACACGGCGGGCGCCCCACGAGGCCACAACUUGUCCUCGCCAUCCUCCCCUGACGG
rnacentral:lncRNA from 1 species